GGUGUUUGCAGCAGCAAAUUGCUGCGUUCUUUGAUGUCACCACCGAUGUGAUAUGGCAAGCCGCAGUUGGCAAAGGAAACGUAGGGGCCACGCUCGAACAUGAUGAUUUCAGCGUCUUCGCUGAGUCGACGCGCACGAGCCGCCGCCGAGGCUCCACCUGCAACACCAC
rnacentral:antisense_RNA from 11 species